GCUAGUGUGGUACAGUGGUUUGAGCACUGGACUAUGAAUCUGGAGACCAGGGUUCAAAUCCCUGCUUGGUCU